rnacentral:rRNA from 1 species
CCCUUAGAUGUUCUGGGCCGCACGCGCGCUACACUGAUGCAUUCAACGAGUUUCUUCCUGGUCCGAGAGGAAUGGGUAACCUUUUGAAAGUGCAUCGCGAUAGGGAUAGACCAUUGCAAUUAUUGGUCUUCAACGAGGAAUUCCUAGUAGACGUAGUUCAUCAGACUGCAUCGAUUACGUCCCUGCCCUUUGUACACACCGCCCGUCGCUCCUACCGAUUGAAUGCUCAGGUGAGCCAUUCGGACUUUCAUCAUGCUGGUUUCCAGUUUUGAUGAAGGAAAGUCUUGCGAACCUUAUCAUUUAGAGGAAGGAGAAGUCGUAACA